rnacentral:rRNA from 1 species
UGACGAAGGGGGCUAGCGUUGCUCGGAAUCAACUGGGCGUAAAGCGCGACGUAGGCGGGCUCUUAAGUCGGAUGGUGAAAUCCUGGAGCUCAACUCCAGAACUGCCUCCGAUACUGAGAGUCUUCGGAGUUCGGGAGAGGUGAGUGGAACUGCGAGUGUAGAGGUGAAAUUCGUAGAUAUCGCAAGAACACCAGUGGCGAAGGCGGCUCACUGGCCCGAUACUGACGCUGAGGUGCGAAAGCGUGGGGAGCAAACAGG